rnacentral:lncRNA from 1 species
AACAAAACAAAACAAACCAAGCAUAUAUUAUAAUAAAGGAGAUAUUGUUCCUUCUUCUUCAGUGGUGUCUCUCGUUGGCAUUAACUUCUUGGUCUUCGAGAAGUCAAACUUGUAUGCAUGCAUUCGCCUCUAAAAGUAUUGUCGUUGGUUUUUGGUGGAAAGACAAAGUCAAUUUUGUAGGAUUUCCCAACAUUAUCUCAGUCUGCAACAAUUUCACACCCAAAAUAAUGUAAAUAAGAGGAUGUAGUUAAUAAAGCUCACAUUAAAAUAAGAAAACUUGCCUUUACCUUUUGAACCAUUCUUCUUUUUCUCUCAUCUUUCGUUAACACCUCCAUCUGUUAUUUAACAGAGAACAAAGACAAAAAAAAUUCUUGAAUUACAAAAAAAGAAGAUAAUGAUUUACAUAUAGUAGAAGAAAGAUAGGUUUACUCUUCUCUACUCUUCUUUGUUGUGAGCCCAUUCUUCAAAAUCUUACCGAUUGUUACCACAACUAUGAUUGUAAUAUACAAAAGACUAUAUCAUAC